rnacentral:lncRNA from 1 species
GCAUCUCGUCAUAGGGUCAGGUUUCCCUGCAUUCAAAUCAUUAAGACUGCCACCAUCCCGGCUAAUCUGUGCAAAAGGGAGAGCACUAAGCAGUUUCACAAUUCCAAAAUCAAGUUCCCUCUGGUGUACAAGAAGAUUAGGCCACCAACUAGGAGCCUAAAAACAACCUACAAAGCCAAGAAGCCCAACCUGUUUAUGUGAUUCAGUGAAUCACAUUUCGCUUCUCAUAUUGGGAGUUGCUUGAUUGAUCAGUUAGCACAUUAAGAGCUUUCUGAAGAUAAUCUUGUUUUAAGAAACUUCAUUAUCAGCAAGACAAUUGUGUUUUUCCUAGUUUGUUACUUACCGAGAAUUUUGUUUUAUCUUUUUGUUAUGCAGUUAUUUAUUUUUCUCUUUAUGAUGUACUGGUACAAGCUUGAUUUUGAAUCUAGCGAUCACUUUAUUUCGAAGGAGGGUUUAUAAUUUUCUAUUGUUUGUGCACUCUAAUUGCUGGAAAAAAGGAAGGUAAUUCCAGAUGCUCAUAGCUAAUGAGCUAGGUUUUGUGAAAGGGGAUGAACAAAGCUGUGUUGGUAAUUGUGUCCAGCCUUCUAGGUUUUUAUUGCUCAUUCAUUAUUGUUCUGAGUUCGGACUGUUGUUUUUCUUGAACUUAUUUUAAAAUUCAGUUCGUUUUCAAAACUGAAUACAAGCAAUGCAUACUGAGUUAAAACAGUUUUCAAGAGUACAAAUGCACAUUAAACAGUAUCAGUUAAAAUAGUGUCUAAAACAUUUUAUUUAGCUUGAUUUGAAUAUACGAUUUGCAGAACGACCUAGUUUUGAUUUUUUUUUUUUUAUAAAUGUUUGUAGUUACUUUCAUCGGCUCAGCAUUAAUAGUGAUGAAACACCCGAUAUCUUAAACUCAGCAUUAAAUUGUACACCUUAUGGUGACUAUUUUAAGCAAAAUUUUGCAUUUUAGAUUCAUAAUGAUAUAUGUUGUCUAUAAUAGUGAUUGGAGGGUGUAAAUUUCAAUCUUUUAUGUAUUAGAUUUGCACAAUUUUUAAGAUAUAAUUUCCAUCUUUGAUAUCUUAACAUAUACCCUUAGCAUUUUCCAAAUAUCAAAUGGGUCUCAAUAAUAACUUUGUAUCAUUAAUUUCAAAUUUUCAACAAAUAAUUUAUUUAUUAAAUCAUAAUCAUUUAGUUUUUGAAUUGUAAAAUUGGUCAAAUUCCUUUUGUUUAUCUUUGCUUGCCUAUUAGAGGGGAACCCCAUUGUUUAUCCUUGUGGAGUUUGUUCAUUGAAAAGAUUUGUAAAAAAUUAUCUGGUUGAAAAAGUAAAAAGCAAUCUAUGGAUGAUCGGUUUGCGCUCUUAAAACUUGUCUUGUCAUCCUUCCAAUUUAUUUUCUUUCAUUCUUCUAGACUCCCACAAAUAUUAUUAUUUUUAUACAGAAUCUCUGUCUUGAUUUUUUUUUGGGUGUAUUAGAAGAGGUGGUAGAAAUGUUUCCGUGUGGUGGAAGGAUUUAUGUGCUAUCAGGCAUGCUGGUGUGAUCCUAGGUUGGUUGGAGGGUGUUUACGGACUCGAUUGAAGUACUUGUUUGAUCUCUAUGUUGAUAAAAAUGUAAUUGUAGACAAUAUGAUGAGGUAUGAGUGGGGGUAGAUGGGCAAGAGUGAUGUUAGAGAAAACGCCUUUUUGUAUAGAGAAAUGUUCAAUUAGAACAAUAUAUUACAGUACCUUAUUAUAUAAUAUUUUUAGAAUAAUGAUAUAUGAAUAUCUUACUUGUACAAACAACAAUCUAUUUAUUAUUUUUUGACUGAUUUCGAUUUAUGUGCUUUACACAAUGUUGUAUGAUAUUACAUUAAUUGUCCUAUUUUGAUGGUACAAAUAGCCUAACUCAUAUUUUUAUGUAUGUCAAAGUUGCUGAUGAAUGGGUCUAAUAAAUAACUUAUAGAGGACUCACAUGACAGGUGGAUUUACCUCCUUGUAUUAUUUAUUUAAGUGACAGGUGGAUUUGUCUUUGGUAUAUCUUCCACUAUGUAGUAGGAAGCCAAAGACAAUGACUAGUUUUGGCUCAAAAACUCUGACCAGCGACUAGAGUUUUGUUUUACUACACCAAAUUUGGUGACAAAACGAGUUUGUACUUUUGCUCUUACUUUGACUUUUCAAGUUGCAUUCUAGCCAGGUAACAUUAAAAACCGUGACACACUACACAUUCAUGGUAUUCACAAAACACAAAUGGUUCAGGAAACUGACAGGAAAUCCCUUCUUAAAACAAGACCAUGUAGUUGUACUAUAGUUAUAAUUUUAAUUUUUAAUCAUCUUAUGACAUUUUGCUACAUUAAAUAAUAUAAAGAUAAAAACCUUUGUUAUUAGUAAUAUUAAUCAAAACCGCGUUUUUGUACUAUACUUUGACAUUUGGUUACAAAUUUCUCAUUCAUUUCUACCAAUAAAAUCAUCAUCACACAACUCAAAUUUCAUUUUCAUUAUUCUUUCUUCCCUCUCUCAUCCUCUUAAUUAAGCUCAAAUUUAGAUAAAUUUUUAUUCUUUUCUUAUUUGGUUCACAAAUUUUUUCCAUUAAGUUUCCUAAGGUGCUUGAUUUUAGGAUUUUCAUUGGAUCAAACAAAGUCAUUAAUCAAUGGUUUUGAAGGUUUUUUCCUUUUUGAUUCUACUUGUGAUAUGCUCUUUUGCUGUGGAAGCCAUUAAUCACAAUCACAAUAGUCUCAAGAAGAAUGGAUCUUCUCUUGCUGCAAUAAAGUUUCCUCAACAUCCAAGUUUCAAUGUUGUUUCUUCUUCAGAAGACACUGAUUGUAGUUUCUCAAAUUCAGAUAAAUUUGGAACUACCAUGAAAUCAAGUGAAGAAAGUGAUGAUAAAGGUCAAAAAGGUGAUGAUUUUUCAGCUGAAAAUCCACAGAACCAAUCUGUGAAGUUUCAUUUGAAACACAUCUCAAUGAAGAAUGAAAUUGAGCCUAAAAAAUCUGUGAUUGAUUAUUCUAUAAGGGAUUUAACAAGAAUUCAAACUCUUCAUACAAGGGUCAUUGAAAAAAAGAAUCAAAACACAAUUUCAAGGCUGCAAAAAUCAACAAAGAAGCAAACAAAUUCAAAGCAGUCCUACAAGCCAGCAGUUUCUCCGGUUGCGGCGGCCUCGCCGGAAUAUUCAAGUCAGCUUGUGGCAACUUUGGAAUCAGGGGUGAGUCUUGGCUCUGGUGAGUAUUUCAUGGAUGUGUUUAUAGGUACACCACCUAAGCAUUAUUCUUUGAUACUUGAUACUGGUAGUGAUCUUAAUUGGAUUCAAUGUGUUCCUUGCAUUGCUUGUUUUGAACAAAGUGGUCCAUAUUAUGAUCCUAAAGAAUCUAGUUCUUUUGAAAAUAUAACAUGUCAUGAUCCUAGGUGUAAAUUAGUUUCAUCACCAGAUCCACCUAAGCCUUGUAAAGAUGAGAAUCAAACUUGUCCUUACUUCUAUUGGUAUGGUGAUAGUUCCAAUACAACUGGUGAUUUUGCUUUGGAAACUUUUACUGUUAAUCUCACUACUCCUAAUGGAAAAUCAGAACAAAAACAUGUGGAAAAUGUUAUGUUUGGUUGUGGUCAUUGGAAUAGAGGACUAUUUCACGGUGCUGCUGGUUUGUUAGGAUUAGGAAGAGGACCAUUAUCAUUUGCUUCACAGCUUCAAUCUAUCUAUGGUCAUUCCUUUUCAUAUUGUCUUGUGGAUAGAAAUAGUGACACAAGUGUUAGUAGCAAGUUGAUAUUUGGCGAGGAUAAAGAACUUCUUAGCCACCCUAAUUUGAAUUUCACUUCUUUUGUUGGUGGUGAAGAGAAUUCUGUUGAUACAUUUUACUAUGUUGGGAUAAAAUCUAUUAUGGUUGAUGGUGAGGUGUUGAAGAUACCAGAAGAAACUUGGCAUUUGUCAAAAGAAGGUGGUGGUGGUACAAUAAUUGAUUCUGGAACUACUUUAACUUAUUUUGCUGAACCUGCUUAUGAGAUUAUCAAAGAGGCUUUCAUGAAAAAGAUUAAGGGUUAUGAACUUGUUGAGGGUUUUCCACCUCUUAAGCCAUGUUAUAAUGUGUCAGGAAUUGAAAAAAUGGAGCUACCUGAUUUUGGGAUAUUAUUUUCUGAUGGAGCAAUGUGGGAUUUUCCUGUGGAGAAUUACUUUAUACAGAUUGAGCCUGAUCUUGUUUGUUUGGCUAUUUUGGGGACUCCUAAAUCUGCACUUUCAAUUAUUGGGAACUAUCAGCAGCAAAAUUUUCAUAUACUUUAUGAUAUGAAGAAAUCUAGACUUGGUUAUGCACCAAUGAAGUGUGCUGAUGUUUAACAUUUUUUCAGGUUCUAACUUUGGACCGUCCGAUAUUAUUCGGACGGCCAUAGAUGUGCAAACCAUGCAAUCCUAAUGGAUUUGAAAGGUGUAUACUGUAUAUUCUCAUAAUUGUAAACAUGGUGAUUCAGAGGGUAGAUUUUUGGUUUUUCAUUAGAUGGAAAGUUAUAUAUACAUAGAAAAGAAAUAAGUUUAGGUUAUAUUUUUCAAGUGAUAAUAGAAUUUAGCCUUCAGAAAAUUUCUGAAAGUCUGAAAUUGGGUUAUGACCAAACAGAAGCUUGUUUUGUAUACAUUUUAACAGAUUCAAUUGAGUUUAUUGUUUAUUCAAUUACUGUGUAUGCUAUUCUGUUAUCUCUUUUGCUGCAACAUUUUACUUUCUCAUGAACCAUUUCAUUUUGUACAUUUUUUAUUUCACUUUGAAAAUAAAUGAUCAAAUAGUAUAGUAGUUGUAUUAUUCAAUGGUCUUUUUCUGUUAGGCCACUCAAACUUUUUGAAUAUAAAAGUAACAAAUGCAUGCCACCAAGGAAUUGGUCAACUGAAUUGCAAAGAGUUCAUGUACCAUACAUUUUGCCAUCUAUGUCUAUUGGUUUAUGGAAUUUUACAUUUGACAGAUUUCUAACCUGAUUAGUGAUAAUCCUUUUUGUUUACUUGUUUUGUAUGACUUUUAUCUUUUGGUGGAUUGGUAUGUUUGCCAAAACAUAUACUAAUAAAAUGCAGUUUACCAACUACACCAUUAUUUAAUUUCGUAUGAGUGUGAAGUAUGAAAGCUAAGUUUUCCAUUCAAUUGGUCUUGUGUGUAUAAGCUGGAAAACCUUUAUUUGACUAAUAGCAUAUGCAUAUUUUCCUCUUUCAAUGUCCAUUCAAACUUAGGCAUGAUGAAACAGAAAUUAUAUUUUAUUUGAGACCCAUGUUUCACCUUGUGAAUAUUGACUUCCAGUUAAGUAAGCCAUCAAUUAGGUGAACAUAUAUAUUUCUUCUUUGCUGCCAUGUGUUACUCUUAAACGUGUUUUUACAAAUUUGUAAAAGAGAAAUUUUCUAGUAUUUUAUAAAGAAUAAAAUAAAAUGAAAUGCAGCGACUAACUGUCGCUCAUGAAUUAGUUAGUGUAGCCCCACCUUAUAUUAGCUCUCACGUUUAUGAUGAUGUACGGUCAUAUAUUAAAUAAUUGAUAUUUAAUGAAAAACUAUGAAUUUCUUUCCUAAAAAAAAAAAAAAACUACAUAGUUCGUAUUUCGUCAGGAAAAAAGAAAACUAUAUAGUUCAUAUUUUGUCAAGAAUUAAUUUUACUAAACAAUCCUUUGUCAAAAUGCUCAUUACAAACAAUGAAUAGUUUCUCAUGAUAUUUAUAGAGGUCUAGUAUGAUCAAAUAAUUUAUUAUUUUUAAAGUAGUCUCUUACAAAAAUUCCAAAAAAAAAAAACUUUCUUAGAAAUUGUACUACGAGCUUUCUUCUCUCUCACAGGAGACUACGGUGUUGGGGUUUCUUUUGUCGGAUUGAACAAGCAUCACAUUGUCACCAAGAAUGAAUUACCUCCACGUCCCUGAACUCACAAGGGGAAACACAAGCAACGGGGUUCACUUCGUGAGGAACCUCAUUAGAUAGGUUGCUUCUUAUGAGAAGUCUAUUACGUUUUAACUCAAAUAAGUUGAACUACUAAAUCACAUAUGGAUCAAUUAUCUUGUUUUUCUUUGUAUCAAUUUUCUUAACUUUUUCUUUUAUUUUUUUUAUCAAGAAGUUUAGUGGCUAUAAAUUCACUUUAUAAGAUGACUAGGUGAAAUAUUUGAGGUUCUGACCCCUGCAUAUUGCAACCUCACUGUCAACUAUGUUAUGUUCACAGAGACUUUUCUAGAGUUUCUAUACAUGCUUGUGAUUGAUAAAAACUAUUUUUUUUUAAACGAAAUUAUUUAUCUCUCAUGAAAAAAUGAAAUAUUUAUGUAUUUAUUAACAUAAACUUGUAAGUUUUUUAAAGAGUUAAAUAUGUUAUUAAUCAUUAUAAAAUUACAAAUCUUUCAAGUUUAAUCCCUACCUUUUUUAUAAAAAAAUGGAUGUUAAGCCCCAAUUUUUUAAUUUUUUAAGAACAUUUCACUUUAGACCCUUCAAUAUCUCCUAGGCUCCAUAAAUGCACAUAAUUAUGUAUUGGAUGUAUGUUUGACAAAAAAAUGUACAUCUCAUACAUAACUAUCAUAUGUGUACUUACAAGGUUUUAGAGACAUUAGAGGUCUAAAGAUAAAAACCGAUUUUCAAAUGACUCAAUUGGGCUUAUUUUAUAAAAAUAUCCGAAGAUUUUUUUUUAGACCCGCUCCAUAUCUCUUUAGCCACCUAAAAUUAUGAAAUUACCCUUAAUAACACAUGAUAUAUAACAACCGGAGCAUCAGAUACUUAACUACUGAACGUUCAGUUUAAAAAAAUUUACUUAAAAUUUCCAUUUAGUACAUCCGAAUAGAUAACUAAAUGAUGUUAAUUUUAAAAAUUCAAAAUAUUACAAAAAAAGAUAUAGAGGGGGCGUAAAUAGAAAUUUUCAACAUAUAAUGUUUCACUUCAAUUGGGCCGAACUCAUUGGCCCAAAAAAGCCCACAUUCCAUUAGGGUUUUAGGUAUAAACGAUGCAGCUUCUUCCUCAUUCACCCUUUAGACAGCUACGACCAGCGGCGGCGAUUCGCAAUCUGAAUCGGUGUUUGUCGCGAAAAUGGUUAACGCUAAGGUAAAUAAAUCCACCAAUAAUUUUCUUCAUUUUUUUCAUUUUGAAGGGAUUUUUAUGUGAAUCGUAACACGGGUAUGAAUUUUUGUUGAAACAGUUUCACCAGUACCAGGUUGUCGGAAGAGCUCUUCCCACCGAAAAGGAUGAACAUCCUAAGAUUUAUCGUAUGAAGCUUUGGGCAACCAAUGAGGUUCGUGCCAAAUCCAAAUUCUGGUAAGUUUCUAAUUCAUUAUCAAAUUCUAAUGUUAUUAAUUUUUUUUAUAAUAAAUAACUAUUUAAUAUAUGAUUAAUCGUUGUAGGUAUUUCUUGAGGAAGUUGAAGAAGGUUAAGAAAAGCAAUGGACAAGUUUUGGCUAUCAAUGAGGUAUGCACAUUCAUUUAUUGAAUAAUUUGAUAGAAGGGCUGUAGUUAAGCUAGAUUUAUACUUAGGCUGUGUUUGGAUUGGACUUAUGAAUAGCUUAUUUGUGUUUAACGACUUGUUGAAUCACUUCUUGGGUAUUUUGUGAUUUUAAGUAACUGAUUUUGAUUAGCAUUCCAUAAUUUCAUAUAAAAACAGUUUAUUUCUUGUUUUAAAACUCUCUUUUUUGAAUAUAGAAUUUGCUUAUAUCAGCGCUUUUAUGUUGAUCUCUUAACUCAUACGCACUUAGUUACGUUGUUUAACCAAACUGGACCUUAAUGCUAAUGUUAAGGUGAAAUAGGAAAAAAUGAUUUAAAAUUGGAUGAAUUGAAAAUAUAUGCAUGCAAAGGGAGAUUGGGCUGUUUGGCUUAUUUUUGAGCUUAUUCUAUUUUUGAUAAGCUAAAAAAAUAAGCCAAUCCAUUCGGGCCCUAUGUUUGGUGGGGAUUUGAUUUGGGAAUUUUUAUUAUGUAAUUAAUAUCUGUUACUUUUUGAAAGAAGUUUGAUUUUGGGCACUAUGUUUUUCUGUUCCUUUUUGUUUCAUGUGAAAAUGAAGUUUGAUUUUCACAUGUAUGUUUUUAUAUUUAUAUGCUGCUGCUAUAAAAGUUAAAUACCAUUUUGUGUUCAGUUUUUAUCAAGUAGUUAGUACUUUGGUUGGGAAAGGGAAGGUGCUCCUCUGAUUGCAAGUAAAGCUUGUUCUGUUUUUGAUUAUUGCUGGGAUAAAAUAAAAUUAGCUCUGUUAACUUGUUUUGAGAAGUCACUGGCUAAACAUUUAACUGUAAGCUGUUUUGAUUUAAGACUAAUUAUUUCAAAAUCCAAACAUAGGUGACCUGUUAUGGUAUUCUAUAAGUUUGUUCUGUUUUGAUUAGUGCUGUUGACUUUUGUGGUAUUUUUUUCUUCUUCCAGGUUUUUUCCUUCUAAUUUUAUGCAUAUAUAAGUAUUUCGGGAAGGGUUUAAGCAUGAAACCAGUGACUAAUUUUGUAGUUAAACUUGUUGUUGCAUUUAUUUCAUUUAUUUGGAAAAGAAAGGCCAAUUGCAGUGAAAGAAUACUUGGAGUAGGAUUUCCAUGUGUUAGCUUUAGUUAUUAUUUUACGUUCAAUUGCAGUCUUUUUUGGACAUAGGGGUUUAUGGUACCUUUUUUUGAUUGCAGAUCUUUGAGAAAAAUCCUACCAAGAUUAAGAACUAUGGAAUUUGGUUGCGUUAUCAGAGUCGUACUGGUUAUCACAAUAUGUAUAAGGAAUACCGUGAUACUACACUGAACGGUGCUGUGGAGACAAUGUACAACGAAAUGGCAUCUCGUCAUAGAGUCAGGUUUCCUUGCAUUCAAAUCAUUAAGACUGCCACCAUCCCAGCUAAUCUGUGCAAAAGAGAGAGCACUAAGCAGUUUCACAAUUCCAAAAUCAAGUUCCCUCUGGUGUACAAGAAGAUUAGGCCACCAACCAGGAGCCUCAAAACAACCUACAAAGCUAAGAAGCCCAACCUGUUUAUGUAAUUCAGUGAAUCACAUUUCCCCAGUGGAGUUGCUUGAUUUAUCGGUUAGCACAUUAAGAGCUUUUUGAAGAUAAUAUUGUUUUAAGAAACUUAUUUCCAUCAAGACAUAGUUUGCG